rnacentral:rRNA from 1 species
GUAGGUGGCAAGCGUUGUCCGGAAUUAUUGGGCGUAAAGCGCGCGCAGGCGGGUUCUUUAAGUCUGAUGUGAAAGCCACGGGCUCAACCGUGGAGGGUCAUUGGAAACUGGAGAACUUGAGUACAGAAGAGGAAAGCGGAAUUCCACGUGUAGCGGUGAAAUGCGUAGAGAUGUGGAGGAACACCAGUGGCGAAGGCGGCUUUCUGGUCUGUAACUGACGCUGAGGCGCGAAAGCGUGGGGAGCAAACAGGAUUAGAUACCCUGGUAGUCCACGCCGUAAACGAUGAGUGCUAAGUGUUAGGGGGUUUCCGCCCCUUAGUGCUGCAGCUAACGCAUUAAGCACUCCGCCUGGGGAGUACGGCCGCAAGGCUG